GGGGCGGUGGUACUCGGUGAAAGCCGAGUNUCCUGUUUUCCGAUUAUUGGGAUACUUGUACUUUGAGAAAAUUAGAGUGUUUGAAGCAGGCUNAUUGCCUGGAAUACUGCAGCAUGGAAUAACNAUNUAGGAUUCGGUUCUGUUUUGUUNGUUUCUAGGACUGAAAUAAUGAUUAAUAGGGACNGUUGGGGGCAUUCGUAUUUAACUGANAGAGGUGAAAUUCUNAGAUUUGUUAAAGACGAACUACUGCGAAAGCAUUUGCCAAA
rnacentral:rRNA from 1 species